GAUGAACGCUGGCGGCGUGCCUAAUACAUGCAAGUCGAGCGAACAGACGAGGAGCUUGCUCCUCUGACGUUAGCGGUGGACGGGUGAGUAACACGUGGAUAACCUACCUAUAAGACUGGGAUAACUUCGGGAAACCGGAGCUAAUACCGGAUAAUAUAUUGAACCGCAUGGUUCAAUAGUGAAAGACGGUUUUGCUGUCACUUAUAGAUGGAUCCGCGCCGCAUUAGCUAGUUGGUAAGGUAACGGCUUACCAAGGCAACGAUGCGUAGCCGACCUGAGAGGGUGAUCGGCCACACUGGAACUGAGACACGGUCCAGACUCCUACGGGAGGCAGCAGUAGGGAAUCUUCCGCAAUGGGCGAAAGCUUGACGGAGCAACGCCGCGUGAGUGAUGAAGGUCUUCGGAUCGUAAAACGCUGUUAUUAGGGAAGAACAAAUGUGUAAGUAACUAUGCACGUCUUGACGGUACCUAAUCAGAAAGCCACGGCUAACUACGU
rnacentral:rRNA from 1 species